rnacentral:rRNA from 1 species
GGGACACGUGGUAUCCUGUCUGAAUAUGGGGGGACCAUCCUCCAAGGCUAAAUACUCCUGACUGACCGAUAGUGAACCAGUACCGUGAGGGAAAGGCGAAAAGAACCCCGGCGAGGGGAGUGAAAAAGAACCUGAAACCGUGUACGUACAAGCAGUGGGAGCACGCUUAGGCGUGUGACUGCGUACCUUUUGUAUAAUGGGUCAGCGACUUAUAUUCUGUAGCAAGGUUAACCGAAUAGGGGAGCCGAAGGGAAACCGAGUCUUAACUGGGCGUUAAGUUGCAGGGUAUAGACCCGAAACCCGGUGAUCUAGCCAUGGGCAGGUUGAAGGUUGGGUAACACUAACUGGAGGACCGAACCGACUAAUGUUGAAAAAUUAGCGGAUGACUUGUGGCUGGGGGUGAAAGGCCAAUCAAACCGGGAGAUAGCUGGUUCUCCCCGAAAGCUAUUUAGGUAGCGCCUCGUGAAUUCAUCUCCGGGGGUAGAGCACUGUUUCGGCAAGGGGGUCAUCCCGACUUACCAACCCGAUGCAAACUGCGAAUACCGGAGAAUGUUAUCACGGGAGACACACGGCGGGUGCUAACGUCCGUCGUGAAGAGGGAAACAACCCAGACCGCCAGCUAAGGUCCCAAAGUCAUGGUUAAGUGGGAAACGAUGUGGGAAGGCCCAGACAGCCAGGAUGUUGGCUUAGAAGCAGCCAUCAUUUAAAGAAAGCGUAAUAGCUCACUGGUCGAGUCGGCCUGCGCGGAAGAUGUAACGGGGCUAAACCAUGCACCGAAGCUGCGGCAGCGACGCUUAUGCGUUGUUGGGUAGGGGAGCGUUCUGUAAGCCUGCGAAGGUGUGCUGUGAGGCAUGCUGGAGGUAUCAGAAGUGCGAAUGCUGACAUAAGUAACGAUAAAGCGGGUGAAAAGCCCGCUCGCCGGAAGACCAAGGGUUCCUGUCCAACGUUAAUCGGGGCAGGGUGAGUCGACCCCUAAGGCGAGGCCGAAAGGCGUAGUCGAUGGGAAACAGGUUAAUAUUCCUGUACUUGGUGUUACUGCGAAGGGGGGACGGAGAAGGCUAUGUUGGCCGGGCGACGGUUGUCCCGGUUUAAGCGUGUAGGCUGGUUUUCCAGGCAAAUCCGGAAAAUCAAGGCUGAGGCGUGAUGA